ACGGGAGGCAGCAGUGGAGAAUCUUGCACAAUGGGGGAAACCCUGAUGCAGCAACGCCGCGUGAAGGAUGAAGGCCCUUGGGUCGUAAACUUCUGUUCUAAGGGAAGAUAAUGACGGUACCUUAGGAGCAAGUCCCGGCUAACUACGUGCCAGCAGCCGCGGUAAUACGUAGGGGGCGAGUGUUAUCCGGAAUUAUUGGGCGUAAAGAGUACGUAGGUGGUUUCCUAAGCAUGGGGUUUAAGGCAACGGCUUAACCAUUGUUCGCCCCAUGAACUGGGUUACUUGAGUGCUGGAGGGGAAAGCGGAAUUCCUAGUGUAGCGGUGAAAUGCGUAGAUAUUAGGAAGAACACCAGUGGCGAAGGCGGUUAGCUGGACAAUAACUGACGCUGAGGCGCGAAAGCGUGGGUAGCAAACAGGAUUAGAUACCCUGGUA
rnacentral:rRNA from 1 species